AUGCUGCUGUUGGUUCAGAGGGACAUUCUGCUCUGUGCUAGGAAAGGUCAAGGUGAUUCAAGUCCCAGUUAAAACAAAGAUUUGUUAUCAUUCUGGAAUACAUUGCUUUGUAACAAGUUUAUGUUCUGACUGGUUGGAUUUUAAUCAUUUCUCUUUGAUCUAUUAAUUUUUAUUAGCAUAAGAGCACAUAAAUAUUAGCAUUUCUCUCUUACUGCAGCAGGAUGUAUUCCUAUUCCCAAACAUAGCAAUAUUUCAGGGAUUCUGAAAUCACACACCACCUUCUAAAUGAUGCCAAUACUGUAAAGAGGUUUGAGGUGAUUGUGAAUUUUGAUUAAUUUGUAGUUUAAGAGAAGUAAGUUUUUGGUUCAAGCUUGAUUUCAUUUUGAACUAAGUCUAAAACAAUGCAUAAAUAAAUGGCUGGUUGUCUGGAUGCACUCAAGAUGAGACAUCUAUGCUGUCUCUAGCUCCCAACUAAAUACAGCUAAAGAAUAAAUAAUUACAAUAAUAAGAUGCAUUGCACAGAAAUAGACUCUGAUGGCUGAGUGGCAGCAUAUAGAAAUUGUUCAUUAUUUUUACACUUCAGAUGUCUGUUGAUAGACUGUCUUGGUACGUAAUAUUUUAUAGCAGACUCCUGUUUAACAUUCCUGUGUCCACAAAUUAAAGAAAAAAACAUGCUGCUGUUCUUAACUGCAGAAAUCAUGUUUUGAAUUCUGGGAAAGCAGUUAGAGAGAAGGGCCUCACAGCAAGAAAAGGGAAAGUAGCUUCACAAAGUAGAAAUAAGAGGCAAAUAGAGAUAGUUUAGGUAGAGAGUGUUAAAAAACAAGGGAUUCCAAGCACUUUCACAGACACUAGCUCUGGAAUAACAGCGAGGAUGAAGGCCAUAAAGAUAAAGAACGGAGAGCAGCUCAAAAACAUUUGGCAGGGAGGUGAUUAGAUGUCUACAGGGCAAGCUGAAACUGGUUCGGGGGAUGCCCCCCCUUCGGGGUCAGAAGUUUGCAGCAAGGAAGACUACGAGCCUUCAUCAACACGACCUACUAUGCAAGGGGGCGGAGGGACUGCAUACUAAUAGGCUCUCAGGAAUGAAAUGAAUAUGUAUCCGAAUUCCUGUCAACUAUUGAUUACGCAUUAGUUUGACCUAUAUCUAUAGCACGAUUUCUCCUGACGGUGUGCAAGUUAAGUGGAGCGAUCCCCCUUGCACCAGGGUGUGCGUGUGUCACCAAUAAACACAUACCUGCUC
ensembl:lncRNA